rnacentral:rRNA from 1 species
UGGAGAAUAUUGCACAAUGGGGGAAACCCUGAUGCAGCGACGCCGCGUGAACGAAGAAGGUAUUCGUAUCGUAAAGUUCUGUCCUAUGGGAAGAUAAUGACAGUACCAUAGAAGAAAGCUCCGGCUAAAUACGUGCCAGCAGCCGCGGUAAUACGUAUGGAGCGAGCGUUGUCCGGAAUUAUUGGGCGUAAAGGGUACGCAGGCGGUUUAAUAAGUCGAAUGUUAAAGAUCGGGGCUCAACCCCGCAAAGCAUUGGAAACUGAUAAACUUGAGUAGUGGAGAGGAAAGUGGAAUUCCUAGUGUAGUGGUGAAAUACGUAGAUAUUAGGAGGAAUACCAGUAGCGAAGGCGACGUUCUGGACACAAACUGACGCUGAGGUACGAAAGCGUGGGGAGCAAACAGG